UCUUUGCGCUCAAGUUUAAUUGCUGGAAAAAAUAACUCCUAGGUACUUAUAUUUCUUCACAAGGGACAACUGUGUGGCGUUCAUGAAAUAGCUUGCCGUCAGG
rnacentral:lncRNA from 1 species